rnacentral:rRNA from 1 species
UACCAGCACCCCGAGUGGUCGGGACGAUUAUUGGGCCUAAAGCAUCCGUAGCCGGUUCUACAAGUCUUCCGUUAAAUCCACCUGCUUAACAGAUGGGCUGCGGAGGAUACUAUGGAGCUAGGAGGCGGGAGAGGCAAGCGGUACUUAGUGGGUAGGGGUAAAAUCCGUUGAUCCAUUGAAGACCACCAGUGGCGAAGGCGACUUGCCAGAACGCACUCGACGGUGAGGGAUGAAAGCUGGGGGAGCAAACCGG